CAGCCUGGAGCCCCGGCCCCGGUCCGCAGAGGAGACGGCCCCGGAAAAACCAGAGGGUCUUGGAAGGGAGCGCGGGACGGAGUCGGCUGCAGCGUCCGCGACCCGCGACCCGCGACCUGCGACCCGGCUACCCGCGGACCCGGCUCUGAGGCGGGGACGACCGGAGCUUCCGCCCGCAGCCCAACCUCCCAGGCGCCCGGCAAGACUGGCUGGCGCGGACCCUUUAAGGAAGCCGGGGGCGUGGCGUCGGGGCGUGGCCCGGGGCGGGGAUUCAGGGGCGGGGCCCGGGCGGGGCCUUCGCGAAGCUGCCAGAGGGUGCGGCCCCCGAGCGCCCGCGAGCCGGGCGGUGAGACAUGGCCUCGUGCAGCCAGAUGAGAAGUACGAUGUGGGAGACAGGGAGCACUUGGAUACCCUUGGAGACCCGGUGGAGCCUGACGAUGGAGAAGGCAGGGGCUGUCGUGCACCUCAAGCAGGUAUCAGAAGCAGAGAGUGAAGGCAGCAUACGUCAGUGUUUUCUUCUCUGCACUUACAAGAAGGAUCAAAGACUUUAAGACUUUCACUAUUUCUUCUACUGCUGUCUACUACGAACUUCAAAGAGGAACCAGGAGUACGGGAGGAGCAUGAAAGUGGACAAGGAGCGUGACCAUUGAAGCACAGCACCACAGGGAGGGGUUUCGGCCUCCGGAUGACUGCGGGCAGGCCUGGAUGAUAUCCAGCCUUCCACAAGAAGCUGGUGGAGCAGAGCGUUCCCCGACUCCUCCAAGCAAAGGAGACUCCCUUUCGCCGUCUGCUAAGUAACAGGUGCCUUCCCAGACACUGGCGUUACCACUUGACCAAGGAGCCCUCAAGUGGCCCUUACGUGGGCGUGACAGAAGGCUCACCUCUUGCCUUCUAGGUCACUUCUCACAAUGUCCCUUCAGCACCUGACCCUAUAUCCACCAGUGAUUCCUAGGUUAUAUUAGUAAUGCAACAAGGAGUAAUAUUAAAAGCUAAUGAUUAAUAAUGUUUAUAAUAAUGAUUGAUAAUUGCCCAUGAUCAUCUCUAUAUCUAAUCUGUAUUAUGACUAUUCUUAUUCUAUUUUCUUUAUUAUACUGAAACAGUUUUUGCCUUUAGUCUCUUGCCUCAGCACCUAGGUCCUCUUCUGUCCACACAGGACAAGGUGGGGUUGGCCAUCUAGGGCUCUGGGAAGGAGCCAGGGCUGUGAACUGAAGGCUCCAUCACCUCCAGAUGCUGUAGCAGCAGGAAUGCCGGUUCCUGUAUCCUGGAAAGGAGGGGCAGAGGGUAGAGAACAAGCCCAAGAAUCACUGUGAGGGCAGAGGCCAGGGCGUCACCCGUCGGGCCUGGGGAAGGUGGGGGGCAGGCCAAGCAUCUGCCACCACUGACCUGAGGCUUCCCCUCCCACACCCUGGACCCUCCAUCUCUGCUCACCACGGGGUCCGCAGGCAAAGAGGCAGGGUUGGGCCCACGAGCUCUGCCCUGGAGAACUGAGCGGCACCUCCCUUCCCAGUUGACACCACCUGAGUCAUCCUGCUCGACAAGAAUGACAGUGGGCCUGGAGCCGACUACAUCAGGACUGACCCUGAGGAGGAGCCAGGCCACGGCGGGGGCAGGGUGUACAUCGCCACGCAGGGCUGUCUGCAGGCCGUGGUGCACCAGGAGAACACGCGUGGCAUUGUCACUACCAGCAGGGAGGUGGAGCGAGGCCGG